GCCGGGUUAGCUCAGCGGUAGAGCUCCUGUCUUGUAAACAGGUGGUCGUCGGUUCGACUCCGACACCCGGCU
rnacentral:tRNA from 1 species